rnacentral:lncRNA from 13 species
AUGAGAAUGCUGCCAUACAGGCGUGCUGAAGAGCGUGACACCAGUCCUGUGCCGGAUCCACGCAUCAGGCCUCCAGUGCGCCUUCCCAGUCCGGUACGUCCUGUGCCUCCACCUCGCACUCGCCCUGAAGUGCGUGUCACCAGUCCGGUGCAACCUGUACCGGCCCCACGCAUCAGGCCUCCAGUGCGCCUUCCCAGUCCGGUACAUCCGGUGUCUCCUCCUCGCACUCGCCCUGAAGUGCGUGUCACCAGUCCGGUACCACCUGUGCCGGCCCCACGCACCAGGCCUCCUCCGGAACCUCCUGCGACGGUCCACGGUCCGGAACCUCCUGCGACCGUCCACGGUCCGGAACCUCCUGCGACCGUCCACUGUCCGGAACCUCCAGCGACGGUCGACGGUACUGAACCUCCAGAGAGGGUGAACGGUCCGGAGCUUCCGGGCACGGUGUCCAGCUUCACUCCAGGACAGGAGCCUUCCUCUGCGUCGAUGCCCAGUCCAGGCAUGGUGUCCAGUCCUGCUCCAUGGCCAGAGCCUUCUUCUGUGCCGGUGCCCAGUCCAGACACAGCGUCCAGUCCAGCUCCAGGGCAGGAGCCUUCCUCUGUGCCGAUGCCCAGUCCAGGCACGGUGUCCAGUCCUGCUCCAUGGCCAGAGCCUUCUUCUGCGCCAGUGCCCAGUCCAGGCACAGCGUCCAGUCCAGCUCCAGGGCAGGAGCCUUCCUCUGCGCCGGUGCCCAGUCCAGACACGGCGUCCAGUCCAGCUCCAGGGCAGAAGCCUUCCUCUGCGCCGGUGCACAGUCCAGGCACGGUGUCCAGUCCUGCUCCAUGGCCAGUGUCCAGUCCAGGCACGGUGUCCAGUCCUGCUCCAUGGCUGGAGCCUUCCUCUGCGCCGAUGCCCAGUCCAGGCACAGUGUCCAGUCCUGCUCCAUGGCCGGAGCCUUCUGUUUCGGUGCCCAGUCCAGGCAUGGCAUCCAGUCCAGCUCCAGGGCAGGAGCCUUCCUCUGCGCCGGUCCCCAGUCCAGGGACAGCGUUCAGCCCGGCGCAAUGGCCAGACCCAGGGUCUGGGUGGGGGCUACGACCUGCACCAGAGCCGCCACCAACACCAAUCACCCCCCCCCCCCCCAUUUGGUUUCAGGUUUUGCGGCCAGAGUCCGCACCUUUGGGAGGGUACUGUCACACCCUGACUAUAGAGAGCCCUUAG